rnacentral:rRNA from 1 species
GAUGAACGCUGGCGGCGUGCCUAAUACAUGCAAGUCGAGCGAACAGACGAGGAGCUUGCUCCUCUGACGUUAGCGGCGGACGGGUGAGUAACACGUGGAUAACCUACCUAUAAGACUGGGAUAACUUCGGGAAACCGGAGCUAAUACCGGAGAAUAUAUUGAACCGCAUGGUUCAAUAGUGAAAGACGGUUUUGCUGUAACUUAUCGAUGGAUCUGCGCCGCUUUAGCUAGUUGCUAAGGUAACGGCUUACCAAGGCAACGAUGCGUAGCCGACCUGAGAGGGUGAUCGGCCACAUUAGAACUGGGCCACGGUCCAGGCUCCUGCGGGAGGCAGCAGACGGGAAUGGUACGCAAUGGGGGGAAGCCUUACGGAGCAACGCCGCGUGAGUGAUGAAGGUCUUCGGAUCGUGAAGCUCGCUUAUUAGGGAAGAACAAAUGUGUAAGUAACUAUGCACGUCUUGACGGUACCUAAUCAGAAAGCCACGGCUAACUACGUG